rnacentral:lncRNA from 1 species
UUUUAUUCAUCUUAUUCAUUGCUUGUGCUUGAAAAGAUACGUAAAAUGAUUAUGAUUGAAUUGUGAGAUUGUGUGCAUCAAGUGUGAUGCAGGAUAUUCAUUUUCUUGUUUUUGAUAGGUACUGAUGCACCUUUGGGAUAAUGUAUCAGGUACCAUUGCUUGAGCCUCACUAAAGAUGUUCCGGGUCAUCUCUUAGCUUCUCUAAAGAGGCUGUGAAGUUAGUUGAGAGGGGGAGAUUCCAAACCUGGUCGAUGAAGAGGGCAAGCCGUGUGUGAAGUGUUGAUAAGUCUCACUAGUGUUUUGAAGAUGAUCUGGUCGUGUCCUAGCUUCUCUAAGAUGGCUGUGAAGUCAGUUGAGAGGGGGAGACUUCAAACCGGUUUCAUGAAGAUGUGAAGCUGAGUUGUUUAAUGCGCAAGGUCUUGAUGAGUUGCUGCACCAGUUUAGGCCGUGAUCCAGAACUUCUUGUGUCCA